GGAAAGCAUGAGUCGGGUGAAUAGAAUAACAUGUGUGGACUGCAAGUUUUAUCAAGAUUUGAGUUAUUCUAGCAAAGCAGGAGUUGUUAGCCUAAUAAAGGAAUAGGGAGAACACUCAGCUAAGCUAUUGAACGCAAGGAGCAAGGAAAAAAUUGGUUAUAAAACCCAAACCCCAAGUUUCUAUAUUUGGUUUUUCUUCAUUUCAGUGUAAGUGAUCCAUAGAAGUCUAUCAAUUCUCAUGAACUGGGCUAGCACUAUUAUUAGAAAAGGGUUUAAGUGAAGACUAAAAAUUGGAAUUUGAGAAAACUUUUGGCAAGGCAAUAGCAAGACAAGUAUUCGAAUCAAUCUGAGCAAGAAGGUUUAGCAACCAAGAGGUAUUUCUUGAUCACUACUAUGCUUUGUUUAUGCUUCUGUAAUUGAUAUAAAAGAAGAAACUGAAAUUGGUCUAUUUGUGAAUUGGUUGAGAGAUAAUUGAUUAUGUAUAAGAAGAGAUUUCUAUUUUAAAUUUGGGUUUAGUUUUGUAUAAAAGGUAAUGAGACCUGAAUAUUUAAAACUAUGUCUCUUAACUGCUCAAAAAAUUGUCUAAGAGAAGUUGAUUAAUAAAAGGAAUAUUUUGAUGUAUGGUUUGACAGUAAAGGUAGUCUCAGGUCAUAACAGAUUUGUUUUAAGAUGUCUAAAAUCUAUAUAAGAGAAUUGGUGAAGAGAAUUCUGGGAUUCUGCAGAAGUAGAGCAUGAUCUGAAGUGGUGCGGCCACGCCACUUCUAAGGCCAAAGAUCAACGCGGCAGCACCAGUCUGCAGUCUUUCCAAGAAAUUUUCUUUUAAGUGUGGAGCCUUUGAGCAAAUGUGAUAGAGUAUAUGUUUAAUAAUGUACCUGAGAUCAUGAUCAAGAUAGUUGUCCAUGUUUUGACUUGGUAAAAGAAGGACAAAAUGAGUUUUUUUCAAUGAAAACUAAAAGAAGAUUUGAAAGACAAUCUUAAAGAACUUAGCUUGGUUUAAGGAUUUGAAGGUCUUGUUUAUGGAUAGAUGUAUCUGCUAUAAGGCUCAGGAUAGCUGUGAAUUAUAUAAAUUAUCUUAGCUUGUAUAAUAUUAAGUUUUCAAAGAAAAACUAAAUGUUUUGAUAAAAAAAAACAAAGUUUGGUAGAUCUAAGAUGGGUUGAAAGACACCAAAGUUCUGUUUUGUGUAUUGUGUUGGUUAUCAAAGGACUUGAGAUUGGUAAGGGUUGGAUAGAGUUAGAAAUAGCAGUCCUGAGUUUUAACAGGAGUAGCGCGGCCGCGCCACUCCUAAGUCAAAUGGCAGUGCGACCACGCCGUGCUGCAGAACAACCAAGAUAUUUAAUUUCUAAUCUGAACCUUGGAGACAUGGACGCAUGAGUCUUCUAGUAUGUAAUACAUGAAAUACAAGGUGUGUAGCAUGUCCAAACAUGGAAUCGGGCAAAGGUUGAACAAGAAAGUUAUAAAUUAAACCAAUAAGCAAGAUAGAAACAAGACAAGCUAAGCUAAUAUAUUAAGCUAAAACAUAAACUAACUUUCAUGAACUGUAUAACAUAUAUGUACAUAUGAAUUAACCUCUUGGUAUAUGAUACGUGAAAUGCAGAUAGUUUUACGUUAUAAUUUUUGCCUGGCAAGUCUUCCAGCUCCUAUGUGUUAUAUGAUAUUGAUAUUGAUUGUUGGUAAAUUGUAUUGCAGUAAGUAUGCUAAAUAACAUAAGAUGUGUAAAUAAAUUGCAAAAGUCAAUCUAUGAAUAAAUUGAUUGAGUUAAGGAAUUCAUUCUUUAUAUUUGAUAUGUUAAAUGCAGCAUGUAGAUAUGUAUAUUAGAAUGUUUAUGAUGUAUGAACUGAGCAUGAUUGUGACACCCCCAAAUCUAGGUACUUCAUUCCCACAAGAUUUGGUGCUCACUAUCCAUACAUUCAUACUAUCUACCCAAAUAAAACAAUAUUUAAACCAUAAAUCCUCCCUUUAAAUAGGGUUACAUUAUUAAAUCUAAAAACAACCCAGGUUGUCUAACCUUUAAACAUCAUAUAAAUGCGGAAAUAAAAUUAUUACAUCACAUCAUUAUUUAAAAGUCUAUGAUCAUAACAAUAAAUGAAAUUACAAGUCUACAUCACUUGUACAUUUUUUCCUUUCCUUUGCUAGUUGAAGGCUCAUCUACCUUCUCAACUUUAGCUGCAAUAAUAAUAUUUAUGCAAGAGUGAGCAAAACAAUUGCUCACUGGAUAUAACAAUGAAUUAACAGGAGAAUAAUAAUAAUAACUGCCAAUGAAUAGGCUCAUCAAAACUGAAUAGUACUCUAUUAUUGAUAACCAAAAACUGGAAUCCAAAAUAUGGAGUAUAAAUAUCUGAGGGUCAUAAGACCACAAACUAUAUAUGUCCACAGUUGCGAGUAAUCUUUCAACUCCAACUUUAACAGUCAUAAGACUAUAGGGACUCCUCAUACUUAGGGGGAUCAGCCCUUCGUACAAUGUAUUGUGCACAAACAUUUCAACGCUAAGCGUAAAUUAUCCCCUAAUAAUAAGGUUGUUCAUCUCAGUAUUUAGAGUACAAGUCCGCACAAAAGUAAGUUUGGUUUGGAUACAUUUCAAGGGUAAUUUAGAAUUCAACGGUCAUCAACUAAGGAUUAGUUGAAUACAAUAUUGUUAACGUCAUGUUAUGGAAUAAUCAUAACUAAAUCGACAUCGAAAAUUAAGAUCAUGCUUUAGGAAUAAACUAACAGCAUAAACAUCGAAUAAUCAUAACGUACCUUGCUUGAACAAUAUUAAGCCAAGGUUAUUUAGUAUUGAGUACUAAGCAUGCAUAACAAAUAGUACUUUAAACAAUAAAACUUGUUCAACAUGAGUAUAUUGGAAUAUGUAAACUUGUAUGCUAGAUAACAAGUUAAAGACAAGAAUAACUUGUUCAAUUGCAGAAUAAGAUCUAGAUUUAGAAAUCAUAAACAAACUAGAUACAAGAACUUGCUCAAUAGUAAGAAUAAGCUUGCACAACGUAAUAAAUGAACUAUCUCAACGAAAUUGUACAGUUAGGAAAACUUGCUCAAUGUAAAAAGAGAAGUUUAGAAACCUGCUCAAUGUAAAUGUAGAGUUAGAAAACUUACCUCGUGCGUAAGCUAUAAUAUUAAACUCACGUUCACCUACACAUAGGUUUAGAACCACAAUUCCUAUUAGAUAUGCUAACAUACCAUAACAUGUACAUUUCUAACCAAACUUAUCAUUUUAGCACAAGUCUUAUGCUACCAUAUAUAUAUUCCAGAAUUCCUAAGUGUUCACAUCACAACAUUUAUCUAACAUUCAUUGUAUAAACUAAGUUAUAACAUAACACGUUCAUAACUUAUAAUCAUUUAAAACUUUGAAACUACUAACCACCUAACACGAUUCUGUUUUAACCAUGGUAUUACAUGUUUGACACCCUAACACAACCUUAGACCAAGCUAUAGGGGUGUUUCAAGGUCUGCAGUAGCAGCAGAACUAGCUGUCUCAGGACAGGGUAUGGCGCAGCUGCGCCAUACACAAGCCUGGGACUAGAGCAGCUGCGCCGGUGCACAGACAGAGGCAGAGACGUCUAUGAACAGUAGCCGACUUUAGCCCAACAAACACGAAUUUCACCCACUAAACAGUAAUAUUAACACGCACAAUUGAUACAAAAUCAUUAUAAACAUAUUUCUUCACAUAUAUAUCAAUAUAGAACAAUUUAACAACAAUUAUACUAGUUUAAUUUCUCAAAUUUCUCAUUUUCAUAUAAAAACUCAAUUUUUAACAUCCUCUUCAAAAAUCAACAAUGUAAUCUCUAUACUUGGCCAAAUUGCUUCGUUCAAAUUAUGUUAUGUUCAUUUCUUAAUGAACUAACAUAUACAAGACUCAAUUUACAAUUUACCAUACGAAUUGACCAUCAAAAUUGAUACUUACACAAGCCAUAUGAGAAAUACAAACACUGUCAUAAUUUUCUUCCUUUUUAACUGUAAUACGCAUACAAUUUCUUAUCUACGCAUAAACUCCAGCAUCAUAAACAAGUAUAAUCACAAUUACCAACUAUAUAUAUCCACAAUUCAUCAAUUUGAUUUCACAGAACAUAAACAAAACUAUGUCGUGAUGCACAUAAACAUGUAUAUAUAUAUAUAUAUAUAUAUAUAUAUAUAUACAAUACUAAGGUUAUGUAAAAAUACCUUUAAUUUGCUUGCAAUCCUUGCUAUCACCACUGAUAAUCACUAUGAAAUCCUCAGGUUUCCUCUCAACUCUCUCUCAAUUCUCUCUGAAUGUUCUUCUCUCUUUUCUCAGCAACUAGAAUGCGUAAAAAGAAAACAAACUGAUAGCUAUAAUGCGUAAAAAUAAAACUGCUAAUCCUUAAUACGCCAAACUUAAUAAAAUAUCAGUUACAAAACUAACGUAUAUAUUAUAAAUAUAUUAUAUUUAUUAUUUUAAUUUAUUUUAUUUUAAUUCAAAUAUUAAAAUCCAAAAGCCAUAAGGCUUUGUUUGGCAAAACCCUUUAAAUUUUAAAGACUUAAAAUAUUUAAGCCUUGUUUGGCAAAAGCUAAAUUAAACUCCCUUAAUAUAUUUUUAAUAAACAAUUUUAGUUUAUAAUUUAUAAUCACAUAUUAUUUAUUUGGAUUUUCAUAUCCAACAUUAACCAAGUAAAUUAAUCACAUACUAUAUUUUAAUUAAAUAUAUCAUUUUAGCAAAUAUCACAAAAUUAUAAUUUUCAUUAUAGCUUUAUUUAAUAAUUUAAUAUACCAUCUAAAUUAUUAAAUCAACACAACCAUACAAUAUCUCAUGUUAUAUUACAACUCUCUAAAUUAUGAAUACAACAUCUCAUGUUAUAUUACAACUCUCUAAAUUAUGAAUUAAUUUAAUUUAGAAAAUUAUCUAAUAAAUUUAGAUUCAACAACCAUCACAUCAAUAAAAUAUUUAUUUUAUCAGUUUCAACAAUGCACAUCAAAUAAAUAUUUAUAUAUAAUAAAUAUUGAAAAUUAUAAUUUGAAAUUCUGGAUUGUUACAUCCUUCCCUCCUUACAAGGAUUCUGUCCCCAGAAUCACCAUUCAAACAAUCAAAUCGUCACAUUCUUCCCUACUUACAAAGAUUUUAUCCCCAGAACCGAAGACACAAACUAAACAAAUAACUCAUGAUAAUUCUUCAUCAUUUCAGCUUUGAGUUCCCACGUAGCCUCUUCGACAUUGUGGUUCCUCCAUAUCACCUUCACAGAAGGUAUCGCUUUACUCCUGAGAACUUGUUCUUUCCUGUUGACUAUCUGGAUAGGAAUCUCCUCAUAAGAUAAAUCUUUACUGAGAUGCAACGGUUCAUACUCAAUCACAUGUUUGUAAUCGGGUUUAUACAGUUGCAACACCGACACAUGAAAAACAUUGUGCACAUGUUCUAACUCUGGAGGUAAAGCUACCUUAUAAGCUACUUCUCCCACUCUUCGCAAUAUCUCGAAAGGUCCAAUAAACCUUGGGCUGAGCUUUCCUUUCUUGCCAAAACGAAUUUUCCCCUUCCAAGGAGAAACUUUCAGGAACACAAAAUUUCCUGCCUCAAAUUCACGACUCCGCAUGUGUUGAUCAACAUACUUUUUCUGUCGAUCUUGAGCAGCUACCAAUCUUGCUUUGAUGAGUUUGAUAACUUCAGCGGUCUACUGUACCAGUUUUAGGCCUAACAGUUGACGUUCACAAACUUCAUCCCAACAUAGUGGAGUUCUGCAUUUCCUGCCGUAUAAUACCUCGUACAGUGGCAUGCCAAUGCUUGCGUGGUAACUGUUGUUGUAUGCAAAUUUCACCAACGGUAGAUGAUCAUCCCAGUUUCCUUUAAAAUCCAUUAUGCACGCUUUAAGCAUAUCCUCUAAUGUUUGGAUUGUUCGUUCGCUUUGACCAUCAGUUUGCGGAUGAUAUGUCGUACUCAUCUUCAAUUUCGUUCCCAUGCAUUCUUGUAGUCUCUUCCAGAAAUUUGAUGUGAACCUUAGAUCUCUGUCUGAUACAAUUGACACUGGAACUCCAUGUCUUGAGACGAUCUCUUUAACAUAUAGCUUCGCCAGCUGAUCAAGAUUAAAUCUAAUCUUUAUUGGCAAAAAGUGUGCAGAUUUUGUCAAUCUGUCCAUUAUCACCCAUAUCGCAUUGUAGCCUUUCUGAGUUGUUGGAAGGCCUACCACAAAAUCUAUUGUGAUAUGCUCCCAUUUCCAUUCCGGUAUUUCCAACGGUUGAAGUAAUCCGCUUGGUCUUUGAUGCUCGGCCUUCACUUUCUGACAUGUCAAGCACUUUGCAACGCAUUUUGCGUUAUCUCUUUUCAUAUUUGGCCACCAAAAAUGUCGCCGCAAAUCUUGAUACAUUUUCGUAUUUCCCGGAUGAAUCGAAUAUCUUGAGCUAUGAGCUUCUGUCAAGAUGUCUUCUUUAAUAUCCUAUACUGCUGGAACCCAAAUUCGUCCCUCGAAUCUCAGCAUUCCCUCAGUAUCAACCAUGUACUUCACUUCUUUUUCCUCGACCACACUUUCUCUUUUUUUUCUGCAUUCCUCAUCCUGCAGUUGAGCGUUCUUCACUUUGUUCACCAAAGUUGGACUAGCUUCCAUCUGGAACAAUUUUUCAUUGGUCUCUUUGGGAAAUUUUAUUUCCAACUCUAGUCUUGCCAUUGCUGAAAUGAGCUCCUCCUGGUUGGUUAACAACAUCAACUUCUCUCGGCCUUUCCUACUCAAGGAAUCUGCAACCACAUUAGCCUUGCCCAGAUGAUAAAAGAUAUCGCAAUCAUAAUCUUUUAUCAAUUCCAUCCAUCUUCUUUGACGCAUGUUCAGGUCUUUCUGUGUGAAAAUAUACUUCAGACUUUUAUGGUCUGUGUAGAUCUCACACUUCUCUCCAUAGAGAUAAUGUCUCUAUAGCUUCAGAGCAAACACUACUGCUACCAACUCUAAAUCAUGAGUUGGAUAUCCUUUCUCGUGGUCUUUCAAUUGCCUUGACGCAUACACAAUGACUUUGCCGUUCUGCAUUAGAACACACAUCCUAAACCCUUGUGCGAAGCAUCACUAUAUACCACAAAAUUUUCUGUAUUAUCUGGUAACGACAACAGAGGUGUCACACUUAACUUCUUUUUCAAUUCUUGAAAACUUUCUUCACAUCUCUCCGUCCAAACAAAUUUUACAGAUUUUCUCGUCAAAUUCGUCAAUGGAGUGGCAAUCUUGGAAAAAUCCUGAAUAAAUCGUCUAUAAUAUCCUGCCAAUCCCAAGAAACUUCUCACUUCUGAAGGUGUUCUUAGUUGUUCCUAAUUGAUUACGGCUUCAACUUUUGAUGGAUCCACUGAGAUUCCAUCCUUGUCAAUCAUAUGUCCAAGAAAUUGUACACGUUCAAGCCAAAAUUCACAUUUAGAGAAUUUCGCGUAUAACUUUUCUUUUCUUAGCGUCUCCAGCGUCAGACGUAUGUGUUCCGCCUAUUCUUCUUGAGAUUUAGAGUACACCAGAAUAUCAUCGAUAAAUUCCACCACAAACUUGUCUAAAAAUGGUUUAAAAACCCUGUUCAUUAAAUCCAUGAAUGCUGCAGGGGCGUUUGUCAAACCAAAAGACAUCACCAAAAAUUCGUAAUGUCCAUACCGAGUUCGGAAUGCCUUCUUCGGUACAUCCUCCUUCUUUACUUUCAAUUGGUGAUACCCACUUCUCAAAUCUAUUUUCGAGAAAUAUCUAGCACCCUUCAAUUGAUCAAACAAGUCAUCUAUCCUUGGCAAUGGAUACUUGUUCUUAAUAGUGACUUUGUUUAAUUCCCUAUAAUCAAUGCAAAGACGCAUUGAGCCAUCCUUCUUCUUCACAAAUAACACCAGUGCUCCCCACGGUGAUACACUCGACUGAAUAUACUUUUUAUCUAACAGUUCUUGCAGUUGCACCAUUAGUUCUUUCAUCUCUACCGGAGCCAUUCUGUACAGGGCCUUCAAUAUCGAAGCGGUUCUUGGCGCUAAGUCGAUCACGAAUUCGAUCUCUCGGUCAGGCAAAAGUCCUGGCAAAUCCUCCAGAAACACAUCUAGGAAUUCCCUAACCACUGGUAUUUCCUCCAGUUUAACACCCUUCUCCUUUUGAGUAUCGACUAUGUAGGAUAAAUAUCCUACACAACCCUGGCUCAACAACUUCUUGGCCUGCAUCAUCGUCAGACAUCUCAUUUGUCUAGGAGAUUUGCUACCAUGAAAAACUACCUUUGACGGAGUCAUAAGGUUUACACACUUCUUUUGGCAAUCAAUUAUCGCUCCAUAAUUGAAUAACCAAUUCAUUCCCAAAAUAACAUCGAACUCUCCGAGUUUUAUCGGGAUUAAAUCUACUUUCAUGACAUUCCCCUUAAUGUUCACCCUACAAUUCUUGUAUACAAACCUAACAGGAAUUACCUCUCUAUUCGCAAUUUCUAUGUUUAAAGAGAAAUUCAACUCUUCACUAGGUAUUUCUAACUUCUUAGCAAAUUCAUCAGAUAUAAACGAGCAAGUAGCACCCGAAUUAAAUAAUACAUAUGCAUUUAUAUCAUUGAUUGGGAUAAUACCUGACAUGACAUCUUUUGAUUGCACCGCGUCUUGUACCAUUAUAUUGAAGGUUCUGGCUAUGGGAUGUAAUGACCAUGAAUUUUAAACUCCUUAUUAAUUAAAUAUGUGAUUUAAUUUUUAACGAGUUAGUUUUGUGAGUCUAUUUAAACCUUAUGUGGUUAUGUGAAUUUCUGAAAUGAUUAAAGGGAGUCACUAAUAGUUUAUUUAAAUUAGUGGACUAACCCUAAGAUUUUAAUAUCAAGGAAUUGAUAAGAUUAUUAUUAAUUAAAUAUUCAAUCUAUUUGAAUAUAGUAGCAAGAGUUGAUCAUAUUGGUUAAUUGCAAAUAUGAGUAAUUAAUUGAUAAUGUGUUAAUUAAUAAUUAUUAUGAAUAAAUAAUAAUUAAUGAAUAUCAUGUGAUUAUAUGUUUACUUGAUUUAUUGGUGCAAUAUAGUAAACCUUUAUUAUAUGGUAGUUGACUAUCUAUUUUAUAUAAUACAAGGUGGCACAUUAAUAUGUCUAUAUAUUAAAUAUAGACUAUAUAGUAAGAGUUAAUUGCAUUUAUGUGAAUUGCAUAUUAAUAUUGUUAUGUGAUAUGAAGUGUGUGGGUAAACAUUCAUGUAUACCCUGUUAACAUAUAAUAAUAUCCAUUGUUAAAAUUAAUAAUGAUUUCAUUAGUUAUUAUAAUAAUAACAGUCAUGGUAAUUGAAAAUGUACAUGAAUUAUAUGUAUGUGCACUACUUGAUAUCUUGUAAUUGGGAAAUACAUUGUAUGCCCUUUUAAAUCAUUAUAACCUAUGUUAUAUGAAAUGAAUUAUGUGUACAUAUUUGAUAACCAAAGUCUAUAUUAUGUGUAUAUGUGGUAUAAACCAAUUGUAGCAUUUCAUUUCUUGUGUAAAAUGCUGAGUCUUGCUCCUUGUCCCAAAAAGAGUGUCUCAUUAGUACAUGAACAGUAGCCUACAUUUGAUUUACGUAACUUUCAUAUGGAUAAUCUUAGGUGAUCAUUUGCUAGCUAUGUGGCUGGUAGAGAGUUAUUAAACCACUCUUGAUUAUCCUUUGUUUCCUUCCAUUACUCCAUGGACUUCAAUCUUGUGUAAUGUGAUUAUCUAGUCCAAGUCCCCUCUAUAAAUACUAGCUCCAAAUUCAGUUUUGUUGUUUGUUUAAGUCUGAUAUUGAGAGUUCUAAGUUACUGAAGUUUUUUUUGAAGCAAGCUUAGAGGAAAUAAAUUAAGUCAUUCAGGCUCCAAGAGGUAUAAAAUCUAGCUUAUGUUCUUCAUUUGGUAUUUGUCAAAUUCUUGUAAUUCUCAUGAAUUCUUGGUAAUGUGGCAUGAAUUGGCUUAAAGGUGUGUUAUACAAGUUAGUAUGCAUGCUUAGAAGUCUUAAAAGUAGUUGAGUUGCAGCAAUUAAAUGUUUGGCAAAGUUGGAGUUGAGCCUCUGCAGAAGCAGAGGCCAUUUUUUUUCUGUCUGGUCGAAGUGGCGCGGCCGAGCCACUUCCUAUGCCUUUCACCGCGCGGCCGUGCGGGUAGCAGAUUACAAUUGCUCAUGUUAGCUUCUUUAGAUAUGCUGAGCUGUCUAUAGCAGUUAGUAUAUGAAUAUAAAUGACCUGAACUUGUGGACUAAGGUAGUUAUGUAUUUAGUAAGCCAUAGGUUUGUUUUGACUUAGUUAUUCAAAGAAGGUUUAUAGGUUGAAAAACUAUAAAUUGUAUACAUGGAGUAAUAUACAUUCUGACCUUGUGAACAUAUGUAAAUAACUUGAGUAUGUGCACAAAUACAUAUGAAAGCAUGAAUUAGACAAUAUAGAUGUAUCUUGCAUGCUUGAAUGAAUUUUACUAAUGGAGACUUAAAGUUUUGAAAAUAAACUUGAUAAACUAUAUAUAUACAUUAAGUUGAGAACUUGUAAGUAUGUUUUUGAUGUCUAGCAUGUAUAUAUGUAAAAGUAUGAUGUAUGGUAGGUAAAGUGACUUACAUGAUUGAUAGCUUAACAUAUGAAGUCUUGAUUAAGUAAAAACGAAUAAUGACCUUUGAUAUGUUUGAUAAAAGGUUAAAGUUAGUUAUUCAUAUAAUAACAUGUAUGUUGUGCAUGAUUGUUCGUUUAUGUGCGAGUCGUGUGUACACUGGUUUCUGUAGAAGAAGCCAUGUCUUGGUUUGUACCAGGACCAGCGCGGCCGCGCCACUCCGCGGCUGCGUGGUUUUACACUUAGAUCUGAGUUGUGUUAUUAAAUUGAGAACUGAUGCAUGCUUAGAUGGUUACUCUACUCUGUAAUACUUGUCUAGUAUAGUAGCCAUAUGAUAAUAAGCAUGUUAUUGAAAGAAAUCCUAUGAUGAAUUAGCAAAUGGUGAUUUCAACUAUGACAUAAUUAGAAACUAAUCGAGUAAUGUAAUGAUACAUGUAUUGGAAUAUGCAAUGUGAUGAUUUGAUUCUUUAAGUGUAGACUCGUUCUAGUUUACACAUACUAAUUGAAAGACCGACUUGUUAAUAUUAGGUCAUUUCAACGCAAGUAAUUAAAGCUAGAAUUAUAUUGUAGCUGAACAAGCAAGCAAGUAUCCUAAACCCUUGUAUUACUUUAUUCGACGCAUACCGUAAGCAAGUUCCUUGAGCCCUACUUUUGUUAAGCAAGUUUCCCUAAACUUACUCUAAAAUAUAUUGAGUAAGUAUCCAAAUUUAUUAUGUUACAAGUUUCCUAACUUACACAACUUUGAGUUUGUGCAAGUUUUUCCUAUCCUUCUUAUAUUGCAUUGAGUAGGAUAUUGUUGAACUGAAAGUUAUUCAUUUAAGCUUGAAAUCUUAUUUCCAAGCAUGUUAUUAAGUGGUUUAAUUACUUUACAGUUAUUCCACAUCGAUAUCAUUGACAUUCGCACUUAGUGCACUCGAGUUCGUACAGUCUUGCACUUGUACAUCUUUUAAAGUUCAAUAAUUCUUGAACUGUGUCAGAUAGAGUCUAAACCUUUGUUCGGUCAGACAAACGUAUAAAGUUUUAUAAAAGCUAUCCAAACCAAUUGAUGGUAAGGAUUCUUAGGCUGAAAGAACACCCCUCUUAUGAUAGGGGAGUACCCCAGGUAUCUAAUAUAAGAUACAAUAGAGCAGAUUUAAAUGUUAUGCAUAUACAUAGAGUACGUGAGGCUGAUCCCCUCAAGUAGUUAUUCUGUAGCCAGUAACCAAAUGGUCAAUUAGCUAUUGAUUCCAUUGGAGUGUUAUAGUUCAAAGUCUACUUGACUAGCAAUUAUUCUAAAAGCAAUCAUUAUCUUUGCUUAUGAUAUUCAUAUUGUUGACUCCUUCAGAUAUUCGUAUUGUUGAAUCCAUUGCCAGAUAUUUUUCCAUUCAUCAUGAUAUAUCCUUAUUGUUGUAUUUAAACUUGUUAAGCAAACUUGUUGCCCAUCCUUGCUAUAUCAUGAAUAUAUUGCAGCUAAGCCUGAGACCUUAGGAAAGGACAAGGGUAAAGGGAAGAUGUAGGAUAAUUGCAAGAAGCAAAAUUUAUCUUAUGCUUAGUUUAAAUUACGAUUAUGUAAUGUGAACCCUAAUACUUAUUUUAGGGUAUGAUUGUAAGAUGAUAUUAAGGUUAUCGUAUCUUGGGACUAGUAACACCUUUUGAAUGAACGACGUACAUUUAUUAUAUUCCGCAUUUUAGUUAUCGUAUAUUGUUUAAGAGGUAGAUGUCAGUAUUUUAUCGUGAUGACCGAACCGGGGUCAGAGGACCCGAAUUCGGGGGCGUCACAGCUUAUUUGAUGACGUUGGCCCAACAAUAGUCAAUUUACCUCCACUAGCAUUUCCCUUGCUUCCAUUUACCUCACCAGAUCUCUUCUUAGGGCAUUCACGAGCAAAGUGAUCCUUGGACCCGCACAUGAAACAAACGUUCUUCUUAUAUUGAGUGCAAUUUGGGGCGAUGUGACCCUCCUGGCCACAGUUGAAGCAUACUCGUUUCCCCAUCAAGCACACACCCUUGUGAAACUUCCCGCAUGUAGCACAUGCUUCUAACUUCUUAUUUUGCUGAUUACCCUACUGGUUUCCUGCACCCACAUUUGCAUUCCACUUCAUUUUCAAGUUAUUGUUGCCAUUUCCACCAUUACCACCACCACCAUUCUUAGCUUCACCUUCAUUCUUCUUCUUUCUCUACUCCUGAUUAUGCUUUGUUACAGCCUCGCCUCCACUCUCGGUGAGAAUUGCCUUCUCCAUUACUAUUGCAAACGUCUUUAGCUGGAACAGGGAGACCUUACUGUACAACCAGGGCUUCAGUCCUUGUUCAAACCUCUUCGCUUUGCGUUCGUCUAUGCUGACUUGAUAUGGCGCAAACCUCGCCAACUCGUUAAAUCUUGCGGCAUACUCAGACACCGACAUUGUGCCCUGCUUCAGUUCUAAAAACUGCACUUCUAGCUGACUCUUUGAACUUUCUGGAAAAUAGGUCUCAAAGAAUAUUUCUUUGAACCUUUCCCAAGUCAUUACCCCUUGACCUCCUUGAGUUUUAUUGGCUUGCCACCAAUAACUAGCCUCUGCUUUCAACAUGAAUGUUGCAAAAGCAGUCUUCUGAUUCUCCUCUACCCUAGCAACAUCGAAAACUUUCUCUAUUUCCAUGAUCGAGGUCUGUGCUUCAACCGGAUUCAUGGACCCACGGAAUUCUGGUGGUCCAACCGCCUUGAAAUCCUUAAACGUUGUACCUUGGUUCUGAGGUUGAUUCUGCAAAGCACCCGUCAGUAACGUCACUAGCUGCUGAACUGGGUUAUCUUCCACAUUGUUAUUGUUGGUUUCCUCAGUGGUUCUUUGUCGUGGUUGAUGUCUUGGAGGUAUUUUCUGUUAAAAUACAUCCAUUAGAUUCUAUUCAACCUUUUAAGUAUUACUACUUAAUUUGCACACCAUAUAAGAUUAUCACGUAACACAUAACACUUUGAAUAAAAUAGUAACUUUUAUUCAUUCAUAAUUAAAAAAACAUCAAAACAAUAGCAUCACUGCUAUUUACAUCACUUUCCUGAACUAUAACAGUUGCAGGAUUAAUUCAUCAUCAUCACAUCCCAUUGGUUAUAUCAUACCUGGGAUUUACAUCUUAUUUACUUACUAAUCACAUAUCAGAUACAAUCCUACGAUGUCCUACUAAGAUACUGCGUAGCCUUACGAUGCUUUUCCUCCAUAAUUCGAGUCAUUGUUCGUCGAUCUAAAAUGUACGAUGGCAGCGUCUCAAAUUGAAUAGGAUAACACAUGACCUGAUCUUGAGCUCGAUUGAUCAUUGUGUUGAAUACAUUAUUCAUCUCUUCCAUCUUCAUCCUCUUUGCUUGUGCGUCCCUCUCUGCCAUCCUGGCUCGUUGACAAGUUUCCUUAUACGCGUCUUUGGCUCUUGCCCUCUUGGUAGAUUCCUCUUUCAGCUUAUUCUCCAGUUCUGUAAUCUUCUCUAUCAGUUGCUCGUUUUCUCCUUCAGUGUAGAUCAGCUUCUCUUCAACAUUGUUCAGACGUUCUUCUUGAUCCUAAAUCUCGUCGUCCUUCUAUGCCAUCGAGGUCUGUUGUUCAGCUACUAUCUCUUGCAACUCCUCGACGGUAUCUUGAAGUUCCACAUUGCGGUCGUAUACUUCGUCGUACAUACGGGCAUCUAUCGAGUUAAGUGGAAGUUCUUCCUCCUCGUCCCCCUCAUCCAACUGUGGAAACUCAACAAGGUCCUCCUCGUCCGUCUCUAUCUCAUCAUCCUCAUCAGGUAUUCUCAACUGCUCAACUACUGUGACCAACGGAGUUGUUUCCCGUGGCAGUAGCUGUUCCCAAAUAACCUGAAUAUCUUGAGGCACCUACUCUCUAGGCAUCUGGGAUCCUUCCUCCCUAGCCUGACUGGAUCCUCCUAUAUUAGCCAUCCUGUCAACCAAAUUUUUAAGUUUAAUUACUAAUCAUUACUACUCGACACUCAUGAGCACAUGAGUUAUAAUCACAUAAGCACAUGAGUGUUUUUAUUACUUUUUCCUUAAAACUCGAUAAGAGUUUAUCAUCACUAUCUUUUCAAAAGUUUCUUCCGAAGGCUUUUCCCCACCUAAGGUUCAUAACCUAAGGCUUUGAUACCAACUUGUGACACCCCCAAAUCUAGGUACUUCAUUCCCACAAGAUUUGGUGCUCACUAUCCAUACAUUCAUACUAUCUACCAAAUAAAAUAAUAUUUAAACCAUAAAUCCUCCCUAUAAAUAGGAUUACAUUAUUAAAUCCAAAAACAUCCAAGGUUGUCUAACCUUUAAACAUCAUAUAAAUGCGAAAAUAAAAUUAUUACAUCACAUCAUUAUUUAAAAGUCUAUGAUUAUAACAAUAAAUGAAAUUACAAGUCUGCAUAACUUGUACAUUUUUUCCUUUCCUUUGCUAGUUGAAGGCUCAUCUACCGUCUCAACUUUAGCUGCAAUAAUAAUAUUUAUGUAAGAGUGAGCAAAACAAUUGCUCACUGGAUAUAACAAUGAAUUAACAGGAGAAUAAUAAUAAUAACUGCCAAUGAAUAGGCUCAUCAAAACUGAAUUGUACUCUAUUAUUGAUAACCAAAAACUGGAAUCCAAAAUAUGGAGUAUAAAUAUCUGAGGGUCAUAAGACCACAAACUAUAUAUGUCUACAGUUACGAGUAAUCUUUCAACUCCAACUUUAACAGUCAUAAGACUAUAGGGACUCCUCAUACUUAGGGGGAUCAGCCCUUCAUACAAUGUAUUGUGCACAAACAUUUCAAUGCUAAGUGUAAAUUAUCCCCUAAUAAUAGGGUUGUUCAUCUCAGUAUUUAGAGUACAAGUCCGCACAAAAGUAAGUUUGGUUUGGAUACAUUUCAAGGGUAAUUUAGAAUUCAACGGUCAUCAACUAAGGAUUAGUUGAAUACAAUAUUGAUAACGUCAUGCUAUGGAAUAAUCAUAACUAAAUCGACAUCGAAAAUUAAGAUCAUGCUUUAGGAAUAAACUAAUUGCAUAAACAUCGAAUAAUCAUAACGUACCUUGCUUGAACAAUAUUAAGCCAAUGUUAUUUAGUAUUGAGUACUAAGCAUGCAUAAUAAAUAGUACUUUAAACAAUAAAACUUGUUCAACAUGAGUAUAUUGGAAUAUGUAAACUUGCAUGCUAGAUAACAAGUUAAAGACAAGAAUAACUUGUUCAAUAGCAAAAUAAGAUCUCGAUUUAGAAAUCAUAAACAAACUAGAUACAAGAACUUGCUCAAUAGUAAGAAUAAGCUUGCACAACGUAAUAAAUGAACUAUCUCAACGAAAGUGUAGAGUUAGGAAAACUUGCUCAAUGUAAAAAGAGAAGUUUAGAAACCUGCUCAAUGUAAAUGUAGAGUUAGAAAACUUACCUCGUGCGUAAGCUAUAAUAUUAAACUCACGUUCACCUACACAUAGGUUUAGAACCACAAUUCCUAUUAGAUAUGCUAACAUACCAUAACAUGUACAUUUCUAACCAAACUUAUCAUUUUAGCACAAGUCUUAUGCUACCAUAUAUAUAUUCCAGAAUUCCCAAGUGUUCACAUCACAACACUUAUCUAACAUUCAUUGUGUAUAAACUAAGUUAUAACAUAACACGUUCAUAACUUAUAAUCAUUUGAAACAUUGAAACUACUAACCACCUAACACGAUUCUGUUUUAACCAUGUUAUUAAAUGUUUGACACCCUAACACAACCUUAGACCAAGCUAUAGGGGUGUUUCAAGGUCUGAAGUAGCAACAAAACUAGCUAUCUCAGGACAGGGUAUGGCGUAGUUGCGUCAUACACAAGCCUGGGACCGGCGCAGCUGUGCCAUUUUUUGCCUUGGCACCGGUGUAGCUGCGCCGAUGCACAGACAGAGGCAGAGACGGCUAUGAAUUGUAGCCGACUUUAGCCCAACAAACACGAAUUUCACCCACUAAACAAUAAUAUUAACACGUACAAUUGAUACAAAACCAUAAUAAACAUAUUUCCUCACAUAUAUAUCAAUAUAGAACAAUUUAACAACAAUUAUACUAGUUUAAUUUCUCAAAUUUCUCAUUUUCAUAUAAAAACUCAAUUUUUGACAUCCUCUUCAAAAAUCAGCAAUGUAAUAUCUAUACUUGGCCAAAUUGCUUCGUUCAAAUUACGUUAUGCUCGUUUCUUAAUGAACUAACAUAUACAAGACUCAAUUUACAGUUUAUCAUACGAAUUGACCAUCAAAAUUGAUACUUACACAAGCAAUAUGAGAAAUACAAACACUGUCAGAAUUUUCUUCCUUUUUAACUGUAAUACGCAUACAAUUUCUUAUCAAAUCAUAAACUCCAGCAUCAUAAACAAGUAUAAUCACAAUUACCAACUAUAUAUAUCCACAAUUCAUCAAUUUGAUUUCACAGAACAUAAACAAAACUAUGUCGUGAUACACAUAAACAUGUAUAUAUAUAUAUAUAUAUACAAUACUAAGGUUAUGUAAAAAUACCUUUAAUUUGCUUGCAAUCCUUGCUAUCACCACUGAUAAUCACUAUGAAAUCCUCAGGUUUCCUCUCAACUCUCUCUCAAAUCUCUCUGAAUGUUCUUCUCUCUUUUCUCAGCAACUAUAAUGAGUAAAAAGAAAGCAAACUGAUAGCUAUAAUGCGUAAAAAUAAAACUGCUAAUCCUUAAUACGCCAAACUCAAUAAAAUAUCAGUUACAAAACUAACGUAUAUAUUAUAAAUAUAUUAUAUUUAUUAUUUUAAUUUAUUUUAUUUUUUCAAUUCAAAUAUUAAAAUCCAAAAGCCAUAAGGCUUUGUUUGGCAAAACCCUUUAAAUUUUAAAGACUUAAUAUAUUUAAGCCUUGUUUGACAAAAACUAAAUUAAUCUCCCUUAAUUUAUUUUAGUAAACAAUUUUAGUUUAUAAUUUAUAAUCACAUAUUAUUUAUUUAGAUUUCCAUAUCCAACAUUAACCAAGUAAAUUAAUCACAUACUAUAUUUUAAUUAAAUAUACCAUUUUAUCAAAUAUCACAAAAUUAUAAUUUUUAUUAUAACUUUAUUUAAUAAUUUAAUAUACCAUCUAAAUUAUUAAAUCAACACAACCAUACAACAUCUCAUGUUAUAUUACAACUCUCUAAAUUUUGAAUACAACAUCUCAUGUUAUAUUACAACUCUCUAAAUUAUGAAUACAACAUCUCAUGUUAUAUUAUAACUCUCUAAAUUAUGAAUUAAUUUAAUUUAGAAAAUUAUCUAAUAAAUUUAGAUUCAACAACUAUCACAUCAAUAAAAUAUUUAUUUCAUCAAUUUCAACAAUGCACAUAAAAUAAAUAUUUAUAUCUAAUAAAUAUUUAAAAUUAUAAUUUGAAAUUCCGGAUUGUUACAAUGAUAUUAUGUGUUAUGUGAAGCAUGAAAACUGUUAAAUUUGUUGAGCAGAGCUCAAUCUUGUAAAGUAAACUUUUUGCAGGUUAAGGAUUCAAAGUAAUAUUAUUUUCUAUAUGAACAAUAAGAAAAAUAAGGAGUGCAAAGGAAUAAUGUUUUCUUUGUUUGAAAUAAAUCCAAUAUGGUAUUAGAUUUAUAAUGUACAAAAUACAAUGUUGAUAGACUCCACACCACGCUUGCUUGAGGUGGUCGUCGUCCGGAUCGAUUCUAGCGAAGUAAUAAGGUGCAUGGAACGCUUACGACACCUCAACCCAACGUCUAUAUUGAGAUGAGAACCUUGGUACAAUCGAUCACGCAAUAAAAUUUGCGUUGAAUGGAACACCAACGACGCCUAAACCCCUUGUUUAUAUUAAAACAGGAACCUCGACACAAUCGACGAUUGAUUCAGUAGAAGACGCCACAUAACUAUGUAUUGUUGUAUGAUAAGUCAAAUUGAAUCUCAAAGAAUUAACUAAAGAAUUAGCUUAGGAAUUCUUCAAAGAACCAAAAGUAGAAAAUAAUCCCACAAGUAAUUAAUUUUGAAUAUUAUUUAAUUAUGAAUAAUGAAUUACAUCCACGAGUCUUAAAUAAUAGAAAUUGAAACCCUAGGAAUCCUAAAAGGAAUCAAUAAUCAAAUAUGGAAUCAAAAUCGACCAUAAUAUCCUAGUUCUAAUAGAAUACUAAUAAUAAACUAGAAUUAUAGAGUUUUGGAAACAAAUCCACGCUCAAAAACCAUCAAAAUGUGUCUGCCUAAAAAAAUGCGCCAACACAUUUUGGGCAACCCAGCCGGGGCGGGCAUUUUUAGCCUAGAAAGCCUGUCGGGGCGGCCUCCUAGUCUUUUGGGGCGGGUGUUGGCAGAGAAGUUGCCGCCGGGGAGGGUGUUCUUGGGCUGAAAAACUCGAAUUCUGUUAUUGCCUUGCGCUGGACCGAUCAGAGACGACGCAAGUACGCGUGUCAUUCUCCCUAGACCAAGUACGCAAGACGACCAUGAAUCAUGUUAAUGAAUUUGGGCAUAAUAUCAUCCUCCCUAGACCAAGUACGCGUGUCAUUCUCCUUCCACAUUGCUUGUACUAAUCUCAUAAGACCUUCUUUGAACCAUUUAGCUAGUCUUCUUGUCACAGCUGUAAUAGGAACUUGCACCGGAUCCAAUUCAUGUCCUCGAUCUGAGUUCGAGCUAUUGAUGACCUCAUUAUUCCUCUCCUCUUGAAAAGGAUUUGCCCUCAAAUCGUCACCUACAUCAAAUGAAUUUAGAUCAAAAAAAUUGAAAGUUGCACUAACAUUAUACUCACUUGGUAAAUCCAGUUUGUAAGCAUUGUCAUUAACGCGUUCUAGCACUUGUAAUGGACCAUCUCUCUUAGAAGCAAUUUUGACCGUCUUUAAGCUGAAAACCUUUCUUUUCUCAUACAUAACAACACCCAAUCUUCGGGUUUAAAGAGAACUUGACAUCGACCCUUGUUGGCUUGUCUAGCAUAUUGCUUCGUCCUGGUCUCAAUGUUGAGACUCGCUUUCUCAUGUAUCUACUUAAUAAAUUCAGAAUUUUUCAUUCCAUCCAUGUUAGUUAAUUUAGAAACAGUAAUGGUGAUAAAUCUAAUGGAGUUAAAGGAUUAAAACCAUAAACGAAUGGUGAAAAUUUAGUAGCAGAAUGAACAAAUCGAUUAUAAGUAAACUUAACAUGCGGUAAAAACUCUUCCCAAUGACUGAUAUUCUUUUUAUAAUAGCCCGUAACAAUGCUGACAAAGUCAUAUUUACUACUUUAAUUUGACCAUCUGUUUGUGGGUGACAAGUUAUGGAAAAUAACAGCUUAGUUCCCAAUUUACACCACAAAGUUUUCCAAAAAUAGCUUAAGAACUUAGCAUCUCGAUCAGAAACAAUUGUUCUGGGCAUACCAUGCAAUCGAAUAAUUUCCCUAAAGAACAAAUCAACUAUAUGGGAUGCAUCAUCAGUUUAGUGGUAUGGAAUAAUUGUGUCAUCUUUGAAAAUCUAUCCACAAUCACAAAUAUAGAAUCAUUACCAUGCUUAGACCUAGGUAAACCUAACACAAAGUCCUGAUAUGUCAAUCCAAGGUUCAUUAGGUAUAGGCAAUGGUGUAUACAAUCCAUGGGGUUGAACACGAGAUUUAGACUAGUGACAAGUAAUGCAUUUAUCAUAAAUUCUUUCUACAUCUCGUUUCAUAUGAGGCCAAUAAAAAUGUUAUAUUAAAACAACCAAAGUCUUAUCCACAACAAAGUGUCCCAUUUAACCACCCCCAUGGGAUUCCCGAACCAAUAACUCACAGAAAGAACAUGCAAGUAUACAUAGUUUAUUCUCAUGUAACAGAAAUCUAUCCAUUUAAAGUAAUCAUCUACAACAUUCUUUUCACAAGUUUUAAACUCUUCACCGAAAUCAUUCUUUAAUUCCCUCAAAACCAAGUAAUUUCGAAUCAAGAGUAUUUAUGAAAACAUACCUUCGAGAUAAAACAUCCACAAUGAUAUUUUCCUUACCCUGCUUGUAACGAAUGACAUAUAGAAAUGUCUCGAUAAAUUCCAUCCAUCGUGUAUGUUGAUAAGUGGAUUUCAUAUCCACGUAUCGUUGUCCAUUUCAAGCUUAAUCGUUGUUAUUUUCUUGUUUUUAUGUUCAUUUUUACUCGUUUUGUGUUCUUGUAUGUGUAGGGUGGAUUGUUGUGGUGAUUAGCGAAGAAUUGAAGUCAUUUGGAGCAUUUAUGGAAGCAAUCAAAAAGUUAACAGCAUUGUUUAGCAGAAUAGACCCCCGCCGGGGCGGGCCCUUCUUGCUUAUGUACCCCCGCCGGGGCGGGGGGUCUUCAAUAUCAACUAACAGAAAAGAUGCCCGCCGGGGCGGGCCUAUUUUAGGCAUGUACCCCCGCUGGGGCGGGGGGUCUCGACUGCUGAACUCUCCUUUCUUGUUUUGAACUCUGCUGGAACAUGAAAUCUAGCAUUUGGAAGGCAAGUGAACUCUAUUGGACAUGGAAUUAAUUAGGUAAGCAUGUGUUGGAUGUAUAUUGCUGAAUUAACAACGAAUUAAAGAAGACACAAGGCAUAUUACAGAGAUUAAUUCCAGUUUUUCAUAGCAAGCUUUGGAGGGAGAUUUUGAAGAGAUUUUCAUGACGAUUGUAGAUUUAGGCUACGUGAAGGGUGUUUUUCACUAUUCUUCUUCUUAGUCUUUUAUUUGUAAUUGAAAGGAUGUUAUCUUUGAAUUAUUCAGUUAUUAUUUCAUUUAUGAUGAACUAAUUCACUUUUUAGGCUUAUGGUGGAUCCUUAAGUGAUACGAUGAUUUUGUAAACAAUGAUUUUCAGUUCAAUAAGCUAUUUUCCAGUUUAUCUAUAUUAAUUUGAGCUUGAAUUUAUGAAUUGCCUGAUCAACAAUUCUUCAUGGAUUUGUAUGGAAUCGAGAGAGGAUACUCAAGUCUAGACUUAGUUAAUAUAGCAUGUGUUCAUGAAUUUUGUGAAUAGCAGCUGUAAUGGAAAAACGAUUACUGCAAAUAAAUGAGCUCGAUGAAUUUUGCCUUCAAGCUUACGAGAACUCCAAGUUAUACAUGAAAAGGUCAAGAGAUGGCACGACCAGAAAAUUUUGCAUAGAACAUUCGAGCCGGGGCAAUAAGUCCUUUUGUUCAACUCAUGGCUGAGAUUGUUCCCAGGAAAGCUUAAGUCAAGAUGGUCGGGACAUUCACCAUAAAAAGGGUGUUCUCUUAUGGCGCCAUUGAACUCUAUAGUCGAAAUCCUUUAGAAACUUUCAAAGUCAACGGUCAACGAUUAAAGCACUAUUGGGGUGGCGAGUCCAACACCGAUGUCAUGGCCAUCACGUUGUCCAACGUACUAUGAACAGAAAGUAGUCAGGCUGAAUUACUUAAAAUCAAGUGCUAAUUGGGAGGCAACCCAAUCAUACGUUAAUUUUUUGUAUUUUCAUUCAUAAUUGUUAGAAUAUAGUUUUUAUUAAGUUAUUAGGUAGGUAUUAUAUAUUAAAAGUCUUGUUAAUCUCUCGCCAAUGCUCUAUUUGAUCAACAAUCCACUAAUUCAUAUGUUUUAUGUCUUGCAGGAUGGGGAAAUGUACAUUGAGUGGCUUAGCAUGAAGAAAAGAUGAGAAAAAGAGUCAGUUAGCAGAAGGCAUGCCCGCUGGGGCGGGCCUAUUUAACCUUGCACCCCCCGCUGGGGCAGGGCUCCCCUAAUCGAAUUAGCAGAGUGUAUGCCCGCCGGGGCAGGCUGUUUAUACCUAAUACCCCCCGCCGGGGCGGGGGUCCAGAAGUUGAAGUAGUGUUCUGCAGUUAUGGGAAGUGAUAACCUUCAUUAUUUCUUCCUGAAAUAAUUCUCCACAUCACUUCCAUUACUCCCAUUCCUCAACCCACUAUUUUGCCAACAUUCAUCACAUAUUCUCCCAUCAUCCCAUUACUUCACUCCAUCAAUCCACUACCCUUAUUUUUCUCCAUUACAUCACCUCUAUAUAAACACACACUCACAACCCAAGUUUAUCAUUUUCAUUCAAAUUGAACUCAGGAAGCCACGAAUUAGGGUUCUUACUGUGGGAAUUCAUCGUGCAUGUGAGCGUGAGUACCCUAUUUUCGAGUUCUUCAACUUCAUUCACCAUAAUUGCCACAUAAAAUUGACAAGUUUGGGGGAAAAUCGUUUGUGUUCGACAGUGUGUGUGAACCAAGUUUGGGGGNNNNNNNNNNNNNNNNNNNNNNNNNNNNNNNNNNNNNNNNNNNNNNNNNNNNNNNNNNNNNNNNNNNNNNNNNNNNNNNNNNNNNNNNNNNNNNNNNNNNNNNNNNNNNNNNNNNNNNNNNNNNNNNNNNNNNNNNNNNNNNNNNNNNNNNNNNNNNNNNNNNNNNNNNNNNNNNNNNNNNNNNNNNNNNNNNNNNNNNNNNNNNNNNNNNNNNNNNNNNNNNNNNNNNNNNNNNNNNNNNNNNNNNNNNNNNNNNNNNNNNNNNNNNNNNNNNNNNNNNNNNNNNNNNNNNNNNNNNNNNNNNNNNNNNNNNNNNNNNNNNNNNNNNNNNNNNNNNNNNNNNNNNNNNNNNNNNNNNNNNNNNNNNNNNNNNNNNNNNNNNNNGGGGGGGGGAGAUACUGUGAUACAAGCAUUCGAAAUUCAAUGGCUUCGCAACCCACAUCGAAACGCCAAAGAGGAGAGAGUUCAAGGCCCGCACAACUGACACGGACCUUCAAUCGUCGAAAAUUCGUAAGUGCCGCCGCCGCCGACCAGUAUGAUUAUAUGAUGACAAAAGCAUAAAUUUACCGAAAGUGUUGAUGGGGAGAUGAUGCAACAAAUCUAUCAGAAGGGUUGGAAUAAAUUUACCGAAGAACCAGAAUCCGCUGUGUCAACAUAGUCAAGGAGUUCUAUGCGAACGCCGAGGACAAAGCCCCCUUCAACGCUUAUGUACAGGGUCGCUUAGUCCCGUUCAGUGCUGAUGCCAUAAACACUUAUUAUCAACUGCGCGUGCCUCGUUAAUGCCAAAAUGCCCACCUACGUGAUUUUGAUCCGGACUAUGGGGCAAUACUCAAGGAAAUGACUAAGUCGGGAACAACAUGGAUCAAAGGUCGGAAGGGAGGCACAGUUUUCCAUAGCAAAGAUCUCAAUUAGUAUGGAAAAAUUUGGUACGCAUUCCUAUGUGCUAAAUUAUAUCCGUCCCAACACACCUCGGACAUGACCAAAGAGAAGGCGUUAUUGCUAUAUACGAUUGUGCAAGACUUCAUCAUUGACGUCGGGGCCAUUAUAUGUUUUUCCAUCCGUUGGUGCUUACGAGGAAACCUUUCGGGCGGCUUGCCACACCCAUCACUCAUAUGUGGCUUGUGUCGCCAAGCGGGUGUGAGAUGGUCUGAUGAUGAACCCACACAGAUGCCGCUGCAGUUGCUAGACUCCAGAAUGAUAGCGCGGUGUUCAGUAUGGGCUGGGGACGAUUCCCAUCCUCGAGGUCUGGGGUUUAUUUUUCCAUCGGCUUCGGAGGACGAAGUUGUUGCUGCAGACACCUCGGAGGAUGAGGAUGAGGCUGUGGGAGAUCUAGGAGCCGAGCAGGUAACGCAUUUCGAAGCAUUAUCCAGUCCUCAGUUUCUUGACUUUCAACGUCAAAUGGAUGCGCACAACAAGGCAGCACGUCGGGAGAUGCGACGACUCGCAUUGAGGCAAGACCACAUAUUUGACGCUAUGAACACGUCUUUCGCUUCACUCAACAUGACACUUCAGAGCUUCAAUCCAGUUGCACAAUUCUCAUACCAGCAGCCCAUGCCAAUGCCAAGGUUUCCACCAAGUAAUUCAGAAGAAGAAGAUCAACCACCACCUCCCUAGACUUAGGCGAUUGCAGGAAGUCCUCACAUACUUAAUUGUGAUUACUCAUCCAAUGAGGACUUUGUAUUACUUAAGUUUGGGGGAUUUAAAUUCUUGUUUGAAUGCAUAUGUUAUGAUGUUACAUUUGUCAUUGCAUUCUAGUUUUGCAUAUUAGUUUAGGAAUUAUGAUGUUGCAUUCAUAUAGUCACAUAGUAGUUUAGGUCACUUUUGUUAUUGCAUUUUUAUUUUUAUUUUUUGUUUUUAUUGCAUUAUGUCAUGUUAUGCUAGAUUUUCUAUCUAAUAUCUAAAAAAAUAAAAAUAAAUAAAUAAAUAAAUAAAUAAAUAAAUAAAAUAUUUAGUUAAAUAUUGUGUUUGCAUAUGUCCAGCAGUGUUGAAGUUCAUGUUAUUUUGGCCAAUGAUGAGAUUGAGAAUAAGUUAACUAUUACAGCAGUGAUUAUUAGAACUGUGAUAGAAUUUCUAUUAUGAAUCGAAUCUUGUGCUUGUUUGAAACUGGUAUAAAAAGGUUAGCACGCUAAUAACAUCUUUGUUGACUGGUCAGUUCAAAUUGAUACAUAAAUAGUUUCUAAAGGAUAAUGCAAGGGUAAAUGAUAAAAUGACAAGGAUAGGCAGUAAAGGCGAAACUUAGGCAAGAACCUAAGCUUGGGGGAUUAUAUGUGGGGUAUAUAAGCUUUAUCUAAAAAAAAGGAUUAUAUGUAGUGACUAGUCUUGUUUCGGGGCCUUUGUUACUUGAGCAAGUACGCCCGAGGGGAUUGUCUUUACACCUAGCGCCCUAAUGUCUUUUAUGGUUUGGGAGUCGUUGGUCGAAAGCUCGCUAAGGGGUAUCACUGUUAGCCUAAUGGGAUGAGACAUUGCACAGUCAUGUAAAAAAAAAAUGAAUAAAACGGGAAAAGAGCAAAAAGCCCCGUGUAAAAAAAUAAAUAAAUAAAGUAUAAGUACCCUACAUGAACCCUUGAAUAUGGUACUGCUUAGUUUUAGUUGGAAUUGGCCUAUUCUUGAAAUUUUUAAGUUUGCGCUGUAUGAUGCCUUCUAAGAAAUUGGCUAGGUAUUGAAUUUGAGUCCGUAUCAGUUAUCAUGGAUGUUGAACACACACGCACACUAUACCAGUGAAAAUGGUUUAAGAUUUGAGAAUUAAUAAGGAAUUGUGGAUUGGUUUUGGUGAUUAAUAAUGUAGAGUUUGUUUGUUUUCUCUGAGGCCAGUGAGAUAAUUUUGAUUAUGUGAUAUUGUUGGACUCGUCAUUAUGUGGAUUAUAUACAUUCCAUCUCAUUGCAUUGCAUUGCAUAGUAUGUAGUUAGUUUUGUGUUCGAGGACUAGCACGAUUUAAGUUUGGGAGAUUUUGAUAAGUGGAUUUCAUAUACACGUAUCGUUGUCCGUUUCAAACAUAAUCAUUGUUAUUUUCUUGUUUUUAUGUUCAUUUUUACUCGUUUUGUGUUCUUGUAUGUGUAGGGUGGAUUGUUGUGGUGAUUAGCGAAGAAUUGAAGUCAUUUGGAGCAUUUAUGGAAGCAAUCAGGAAGUUAGCAGCAUUGUUUAGCAGAAUGGACCCCCACCGGAGCGGGCCCUUCUUGCCUAUGUACCCCCCGCCGGGGCGGGGGGUCUUCAAUAUCAACUAACAGAAAGGAUGCCCGUCGAGGUGGGCCUGUUUUAGGCAUGUACCCCCGCCGGGGUGGGGGGUCUCGACUGCUGAACUCUCCUUUCUUGUUUUAAACUCUGCUGGGACAUGAACUCUAGCAUUUGGAUGGCAAGUGAACUCUAUUGGACAUGGAAUUAACUAGAAAAAUGUGUGUUGGAUGUUUAUUGCUGAAUUAACAACGAAUUAGAUAAGACACAAGGCAUAUUACAGAGAUUAAUUCCAGUUUUUCAUAGCAAGCUUUGGAGGGUGAUUUUGAAGAGAUUUUCGUGACGAUUGCAGAUUUAGGCUACGUGAAGGGUAUUUUUCACUAUUCUUCUUCUUAGUCUUUUAUUUGUAAUUGAAAGGAUGUUAUCUUUGAAUUAUUCAGUUAUUAUUUCAUUCAUGAUGAACUAAUUCACUUUUUAGGCUUAUGGUGGAUCCUUAAGUGAUACGAUGAUUUUGUAAACAUUGAUUUUCAGUUCAAUAAGCUAUUUUCCAGUUUAUCUAUAUUAAUUUGAGCUUGAAUUUAUGAAUUGCCUGAUCAACAAUUCUUCGUGGAUUUGUAUGGAAUCGAGAGAGGAUAUUCGAGUCUAGACUUAGUUAAUAUAGUGUGUUCAUGAAUUUUGUGAAUAGCAGAAUCUUGAUGAAUGUUAAGGUAGAGAUAUGCUUGACAUCGCAUGUAAUCGGAUAGGGAACUUAAUCUUAAACCUUCUUUAAUUAUAAUUCACAUAGAGAUAUAGUAAAUUAGUUGAUUAAGGUGUUUAACUUGUUUCUAUCUAAUUUGUGGAUUUAAGUUAAUACGGUAUUAGUGCAUCUAGAGGUGGCUAGUACUACAUUCAUGUUCUUGAUUAAUAAACUGGAAUAGUGAGUUGAAUUGCAAUAAAGGUGUAGAAAUCAGAGUGAAGCUUAGGGUGAAAUCAUAAGUCUAAUUCUCCAAUAAUUGUUUAAAAUUUCAGAUUUUAAUAUUUGUGAUUGUUUUGUGAUAGUUUAUUUAUUUCUUAAUUUAGAUUCUAUAAUUUUAAUCAUUGAAUUAAAUAGUUUAAUAAAAUUAGGAUUAAUAGGAAAUUGAUAAUUGUAAGGUUAAAUUUCUUGCUAAUUUGUCUCUGUGGGAACGAUACUCUACUUAUUACUAUAUUACUUGUUGACCACAUAUACUUGCGUGUUGUGCGUAUAUAGAUUUUACCCAACACAUGUCUUUUGUUCAACAUGUGUUGUCCCUUCAAGUAUUUCAAUGACUCAUUGUAAGACCCCAAUUUUUAUGAAUAAAGAUUGAUUUUUGUAGCGUCCCCCGAACCCGGGCCCAAAUCGCCGCGGAUUCGGUUUGCUAAUCUUUCUAUAACUUUUUGCGGAAGAUAUAAACAUAAAUUGUUUAUACAUUACAUUACACACUAUUCCCCCAGGUCGAGUAACCUUAACUUAUACACAUUUCAUAAACUAUUUAUUACAUAACAAUAUUUAUCACAAUACGCUAUUACAAACUAGCUGCACUUUAUAACCCAAGCUGAACUUGGCUUUAAUCGUUUCCUAUAUCCGAACGCAUUUGCCUUAUCUGCAAUGUUUUAUCAUGAUAUAACAAGGGUGAGCAUGAAAGUUGCCCAGCAAGUUUAAAUACAAUAAUAUAACGAUAUAUUAUGAUUGAAGAGUAUGAAUAAUAAGCUGGCUAUAAUUCAUCAAUAUAAUUGAGAACUAGCAGGAACAAACUUUUGACUGAACAAGUUUUAAACAUGAACAAACAUUUCUGAACCAACUGGUAAUGAAGGUGAUCAGCCUUUCAUACCUGACUUAUACAUGCAAGAUGUACAGAGUACAAUUUUCAUGGCAAUCAGCAAUGAUUAACCAUAAGCUUGAAUAAAACACUCUUAUUAGAGUUAAGUAAGAACAAACUUGCCUGAACCGUUGAUUACCGCAACGCAAUUUAUAACGCUUUACCCGAAGACCUAAUAUUAAUAAUAUAGAUCUCCAAUAUUAGAAUAAUAUCAUCACAGUAUAAUACUGUUAUAUUUAAAUACACAGAAUAACCUAAACACAUAACACAUAACCCUAUAAGUCUAUACAGCACAUAAGACUUAGCAUCAGGUCAAACUAUUUCAGUCUGACUUAAAACUGACACCAUUCUAUCAUCCCGACGGUCUAGUCGGACAAUACUCGAGUUUAAGUUCAAUUAAACUCUUCCUGAACACUUAACAAUUAUCACAGAUAAUUUCUUAUCAGUCAAAACAUUUUUCCUAGGCUCGUAAUAAUUUUCGGAUAAUUAUUACCAUUUAUCAUGAUUUUCCAAUCAUUAAUAUCGUAUUUAAAUGAAUUAAAUACCACAUAAUUCCUUAAUCAUUAAUAUUCAUUUAAUAUAAAAUAUUAAUGAAAAUCCUUACAUAAUAUUAUAAUGUAAUUAUAAUAUUUCAAAAUAUUUUUAAUACCUUAAAAUCAUAAUUAUUUGAUUUUUAAACACUUAAAUCCAUUAUCCGAUAAUUAAUAUUAAUAUUAAAAUAUUAAUAUUUUCAUGCCAAAAUAUCAAAAGUUAUAUUUUAUAACUUAAAAUAUUUUUAUAACACUUAAAUCAUUUUUAUAUGAUUUUUAAAACAUUAAUUCUAUUUUUCCUUAAUUUAUUUAAUAUAUUUAUUAAAUAAACUAAUUACCAUUAAUAAUAAAUUAUUAAUGAAAUUUAUCACAAAAUAUUAAAAGUCAUCAAAAAUAACUUAAAAUAUUUUCUUUUACCAUAAUAUUAUUUUUCAUGAUUUUUCAUGAAUUAAAACCAUUUUUAAAUAAUUUAUUUAAUAUUAUAAUUAAAUAAAUAAAUACCUUUUAUAUUCCCAAAAAUAUUAAAUAUUUUUGAAAUAUAUCCAAAAUAAUUAAAAACUAUUUUUCAAGCUUUAAAAUAAUUUUUCAUAAUUUAUUAUGUAUUUUUAAUAAUUUAAAAUCAUUUAUUUCAAUUUAUUUAUUAAAAUAAUUAAUUUUCUAAUUUAUCUGUCGCUAAAGGUAGCUUAGGUGACAAAUCUGUCGCUAAAUGUGUUCUUGAUGUGUUCUUCAGCAUUUCCAGAAAUUCAUGUCAGUGUUCGAGUGGGUAGGUUUGACCCGAAUUUGAUCUAUGAUCUAAAUGUUUUCUAGACUUGUAAAAACUUUGAUGUUGUAGUACUAAUGUAGUACUACAAGUAUAUACCAAUUCCAUGACCAAACAACAACAUAACAACGAGAUCUAAGCUUCCAAAAAUGAUGUCAGACCUGUUCUUCAAAUUCUGGGAAUUCCAGAUUUGAAGAACAGCCUUAGGUGCCUUUUAUUGAUCCUUGUAACUUGCAUUCUAGGCUUUGGUUUUGUGAUCUAAAGGUUCAGUCUUGUAGCAGAGAUGUCAGUGUACAAGGUUGUAACAACCGAUCAUCAUAAAAACAACAAUAAGUUAAGAUUUGAGCCGGUCAAACUGGUAGGCAGAAAAAUCCCGUUGAAGAUCUGGGUUACCCAGAAUCUUCUUCCGGUCGUGAUGGUCAACGAUGGUUUGACUGUUCAUUACUUUGAUUCUAUGAAAGAUCUGAGUGAUAUAAUAACAUGAUUGUGUAGUCCUUAAACAUACCUACAAUAUCUAACCAACACAAUGGCCAAAACAACAAACACCAACAAGAUCAAGGGCUUUGAACAUCUUGUCAGACCUCCUGGGAAAAUUCUGGGUUACCCAGAAUUCAUUUCCCGUGAACGGUCAACGGUCUUUGACCGUUUAUAUCUUGCGAUCUAUAAUAGAUCUGGGUCUGAUUCUUUUUGCACCUUCAAGAACACAUAUCAGGCUACAUGUUACAAGUUUUAAACAUCAAAAACACUUAACACACACGGAUCUAUAAGAUCUGACAUUUGACUGAAAAACACAAUUUUCCAGAUUUCCAGAUUUUGAAAAACUCUAAAUUCGUGCACUUUGAUGUUAUGGAUCAUGGAUUUAUCAACCCAGAUCAUCAAUUGACACCUUAUUACAUAUCUUUGAACAAUCAAUUACAACAUUUAACAAGGAAUUGAAGGAUUUCAAAAUUAGGGUUUUAUACCUCUUUAUGCUUUGAUUUUAAUCUUGGCUCUCCAAUCUGUUUAUGGAUGAUCAUGGAGCUGUUUCUAGGACUGAUCCACUACUGAUUUUCGUGGGUUUGUGAAAGAGAGAGAGUUGGUGAGAGCAAAAUACAAAAUGGCUAAGUUUUUUGAACUUUCUCUCUCUAAAUCUUAUAUAUAAUGCUUUGAUUCAUGCAUGUUGCUUCAAUUUCGGCUGAGUUGGGCUGAUUUGCUGAGAUUUCAAGUUGCAAAGUCAAAAUAUUUGGUAACCUACUAAAGUUAUAGCAAUUUUUGCAAGUUACAUAAUAAAAUACACUAAAAGGGCAUUUUGGUCAUUAUCUAAUUAUUUUUAAUGGUAUUCUUGGAAUUGGCCAAACCCUUAGGGUUUAGGGUUUGUUAGGGUUUAGGGUUUGGAGCAUUUAGGGUUUAAGUUUUAACCCUUAACUUCCAAAUUAGUUUCUAACAUUUUCCGAGUUUCGGUUUUUCAAAAAUAAAAAUUUAAUAUUUCUAAAUUAUAAUUAGAAUUUUCUAAUUAUAUUACAAUUUCUUAAUUACACUUUAAAUCUUACUAACUAGGAUUAAUAUUUCCUAAUUAAAAUUGCUAAUUACGCAAGUAGGGUCAAAAUGGUCAUUAGGGUUUUCAACCCACAAUUUAGGGUUUCUAAAUAGAAAAUAAUUUUCUAAUAUAGAAAUUAAAUAUUCGUAAUUAGAUUAGGGUUUUCUAAUUACUUAACAUUAAAUUAGAAUUAAUAUAUCCUAAUUAACAUUAAAAUAUUCAAUUAACACUUUCAUUUUUCCUAAUUAUAAAUUAGGGUUUCAAAUCCAUCAUUAGGGUUCCUGACGGAAAAGUUUAAGUUCGAUAAUUUGAAAUUAGGGUUUGCUAAUUAAUUAAGCGUUACCCUAAUUAAUAUUAUAAUAAUAGCAGUAGAGCAUUAUAAUUCUCCAUUAAUUUCCCAGAUUAGGGCUUCAAUUUAUCAGAAUCUGAAACUAGGGUUUUCAGAUCAAGUAUUAGGGUUUCAGAUUUGGAAUUAGGGUUUUGUAAUCAAUUUGUUAAGAUUAACCCUAAUUAAUCUUAUAAUUAUUUACACUUAUGCCAUUAAGUUCCCGAUUUAGGGUUUCAUGCACCGAAUUAGGGUUUCGGAUUCCCGGAACUGAAACUAGGGUUUCUAGAACCGAUUUCUAGGGUUUCUUAUCAGACGUUAGGAUUUUCUAACUGAACUUUGUUGUUCUUAAUAUAUUCUUAGGGUUUGUUACAGAUAUAAUUUAUCUGAUCAACCCUUGACCCUUAACCACAUUCUGUACACAGAACAUAACCAUAUUCACAGAACUUAAUCACAUAAACACUUAAUCCUGAAUAAUUCACCUAAAUCCUUCACAGAAUUUUGAAACCCUCAAAAUUCCAUCCUAAUAACAUCAAACGCAUACACUUAUUUUCUGUCUAGGUCUAUUAUUUGACCUUAAAUCAAUCAUUUAAGAUUUUAAUAAAUUGUCCAAAUUCUCGGGUUAUCACAAUUUUUCUCAAAAUAUAUUUUUGAAUAUAUAGUGUGGAUUUGUAUAAUGUUAUACUUGUGGGUAAUAUUUACAAAUUUUGCAAAGUAAGCAAGUUGUUAAAAAAUAUUCGAUUGGUCGGGGAAUAUUCGUUUUAACAGGGAAUAUUCAUACGAUGGAAAAAUCAUUAGUGGACCCCACAAAGGAAGUAUUGUCGGAGUUAGAAAACGACAUAAAUGUCUUUUUAUAAAAAUAACGGUGAAAGUUUUACUGUAAAACUGUUUAAAUACCCGGUGGUAAAAGUACAGUAAUACGCGUGGUUGCAUAGUAGCACACAGUAUUGAUUAUUGAUGCUUACGUGAGAAGUCACUCAGUUAUACUCAAUUAUUGCUACAGUAAUUGCUGCAUAAUAUCUCUCAUAUUAUUGAUUCAAUUAUUGUCACAGUAUCAUCUGCAUAAUAUUUUAUAUUUUUAAAUCAAUAAUUGAGAUGACAAAGUUAUUCAUAUUAUUAUUUACAAUAUUGACGAUGUCUAGAAAGUUCUGUCGAGGAAAGGGGUUUGGUCACCUAAUUGCGCUUCAAUAGGGAGAAAUCCUUAUCGAAAAACCCCCUCUUUCUUGGGAAUAAUCUGGUUGUUAAAUACUGUGAGUUAUAAUAUUAAUGAUGAAUAAAUUCGUGUUGAUUAAAGAUGAAAUUGAUAUUUCCAUUGUGUUGGGAUUAUUAGUAUUAGUGGAAAUCGACAUUUAUUUUGAUAAUAUUUGAUUUUUGGAGGUUAAAUUGACUAAUCGGACAAUUAAUCGGAUAAAUGAGCAAUGCUAUUAGUUCACAUGCAUAUAACUAUUUGUUCACAUGAAUGGAACUAUUGAUUCACAUGCAUGUACAAUUAGGGGAGAUGGUGCAAGUUUGAUAAUACUUGUAGGACUAAAUUAAAAAUAGAGGAAAAGAUGAAGGUACUAUACUGUAAUAAUUCGAGCUCCAAAACGUGCAAUUAUCGAAACUAUAUUUUCCUAUAAAUAGAAGUUCAUUCUUCUUUCAUUCUCACCAAUUCACUAAGACUCACAAGAACAAUUAUAGAGAGAAGCUAUAGAGAGAAAGAAGAAGAGUAUUCUGCUACUUCACUAUUCCAGUAUCCAGUCUUCUUCUAAGGUAAGGGGUAUUAUUUAUUUCAUAUUCGCUUACGAUAUUAUUUUUCGUAUUCGUAAAGAAUUUUAUUUUCUUUCAAUAUUUGUAAGAAAUAAUAUUUUCUUCCAUACUCUGUAGUAUGUAAGUAAUAUUAUUUCGUUUUGUAUUCCUACUUCUACACUCAAUUUGUUAAAGUAUUGCUUCUAUACUUCGUGAAAUUAGUAGAAUAUCCUUGAAAUUUGCGCUUCAUCUAGUAUCAUUUCACAAGGAUAUUUUUCUAAACAUUCUUGAUAAUUUUUAAUCUUUUCAUGCCGAAGUAUUGUUCACGGGGUACUAUUCACAAAAUACUAUUCACAGGGUACUAUUCAUGAAGUACUAUUCACGGGGUACUAUUCACAAAGUACUAUUCCUGAAGUACUAUUCACGAAGUACUACUCACGGAGUACUAUUCACUCGGGUACUAUUCAUCCGGGGUACUAUUCAUGACAAAAAUCUAUUUCUUCUCUGUCCAAAUCAUUUUUGAUAUAAUAUUAUUCUUGAAUUUUACUCCACAAAGCAGUAUCAUGUUGACAAUUUGGACAUUAUUGAAUUCUGGAUAAAUUAAAUUAUAAAUCUUUAAAAAAUUAUCCUUUGCUUUCUUUUAACUGAAUUCUUAUAUCAUUGUCAUCAUCCUUAUGCUUAUAUUUUGAUGAAAGUCAUAUUUGGCUUACGUGUAUAGAUGGACUGGUGAUUGGUAUGAUUAAGACCAGGGAUCAUUUGGUAUAAUCAUGACCUGUAAUGUUACAAAUGAUAAAAGUCUGUUAGCCCAUAGUGCAUUGAUGGACAUUUGUUGGUAUGAUCAUGACCAUUGGUGAAAACAUGAAUAUCCUUGGCCCGUAGUGCAUGGAUAAUUCAGUGAUGUGGAUUAUUUAUUAAGCUGAGUCUCAGCAAUAAAAUUGAUGAUAAACUUUUUAAAUCAUAGAAGAUUGUAGAUAUCAUGCUCUACUUGACUCUUCUAAUGGAUUGCUUGUUCUGCUGCUGUUAAACUUGAUGUUUAUUGUAUUUUAUCAGUUUAACAUUGUUGAAGGCUAACUAUAAUUUAUUCUGCAUUAUCUUAGUCAUAAUAUUUCUUACUGGGUUAGUUAAGCUCACCCUUUUGCUUUCAUUGUUCUCUUCAGGAAAUGAGAACGUAAUCGAGACUAGUCGGGGAACGGAGUGAUGGUCUGAGAUGGUUUUUUUAGUAGUCC
rnacentral:lncRNA from 1 species